GAUGAACGCUGGCGGCGUGCCUAACACAUGCAAGUCGUACGAGCCCGAUCUUCGGAACGGGUUAGUGGCGCACGGGUGAGUAACACGUAGGUGACCUACCCCAGAGUGGGGGAUAACUUCUCGAAAGAGAGGCUAAUACCGCAUACACUCGGUCAUUCAUUUGGCCGAGCAAAGCUCCGGCGCUUUGGGACGGGCCUGCGUCCGAUUAGCUAGUUGGUAGGGUAAUGGCUUACCAAGGCUUUGAUCGGUAGCUGGUCUGAGAGGACGAUCAGCCACACUGGCACUGACACACGGGCCAGACUCCUACGGGAGGCAGCAGUGAGGAAUAUUGGGCAAUGGGCGAAAGCCUGACCCAGCAACGCCGCGUGAGGGAUGAAGGCCUUCGGGUUGUAAACCUCUUUUCUGGGAGAAGAGACAAGGACGGUAGUCCCAGGAAUAAGUCUCGGCUAACUACGUGCCAGCAGCCGCGGUAAU
rnacentral:rRNA from 1 species